rnacentral:rRNA from 1 species
AUUGAACGCUGGCGGUAGGCCUAACACAUGCAAGUCGAACGAGUGGCGGACGGGUGAGUAAUGGCUGGGAAACUGCCUGAUGGAGGGGGAUAACUACUGGAAACGGUAGCUAAUACCGCAUACCAUCGGAUGUGCCCAGAUGGGAUUAGCUAGUAGGUGGGGUAACGGCUCCCCUAGGCGACGAUCCCUAGCUGGUAGGCGAGGAUGACCGGCCACACUGUAACUGAGACACGGUCCAGACGCCUACGGUAGGCAGCAGUGGGGAAUAGUGCACAAUGGGCGCAAGCCUGAUGCAGCCAUGCCGCGGGUAUGAAGAAGGCCUUCGGGUUGUAAAGUACGUUCAGCGGGGAGGCGUUACCCGCAGAAGAAGCACCGGCUAACGCCGUGCCAGCAGCCGCGGUAAUAC